rnacentral:rRNA from 1 species
UUGGAAGUAAAAAGUCGUAACAAGGUUUCCGUAGGUGAACCUGCGGAAGGAUCAUUAACGAAUAUCUAUGGCGUUGGUUGUAGCUGGCUCCUGGGAGCACUGUGCACGCCCGUCAUUCAUAUCAUCUUUCCACCUGUGAACCAUGUGUAGGCCUGGAUACCCCUCGCUUUGGCAACAAAGCGGAUGCAAGGAUUGCUGCGUCGACAAGGCCGGCUCUCUUUGAAUUUCCAGGUUCUAUGUCUUUUACACACCCCAUUUGAAUGAUUUAGAAUGUAGUCAAUGGGCUUUCAUGCCUAUAAAAAACUAUACAACUUUCAGCAACGGAUCUCUUGGCUCUCGCAUCGAUGAAGAACGCAGCGAAAUGCGAUAAGUAAUGUGAAUUGCAGAAUUCAGUGAAUCAUCGAAUCUUUGAACGCACCUUGCGCUCCUUGGUAUUCCGAGGAGCAUGCCUGUUUGAGUGUCAUUAAAUUCUCAACCUCACCAGUUUUGUAACGAGACAGGUGAAGGCUUGGAUGUGGGGGUUUUGCAGGCUGCCUCAGUGCUGGUCUGCUCCCCUGAAAUGCAUUAGCGAGCUCAUAUUGAGCUUCCGUCUAUUGGUGUGAUAAUUAUCUACGCCGUGGAUUGGACUCAUGCUUGCUUCUAACCGUCCGCAAGGACAAUUUACUUUGACCAAUUUGACCUCAAAUCAGGUAGGACUACCCGCUGAACUUAAGCAUAUCAAUAAGCGGAGGA